UCUUCUACAAUGGGCGCAAGCCUGAUGGAGCAACGCCGCGUGUGUGAUGAAGGGUUUCGGCUCGUAAAGCACUGUUGUAAGAGAAGAAUGUACUUGAGAGUAACUGUUCAAGUAGUGACGGUAUCUUACCAGAAAGGGACGGCUAAAUACGUGCGGGCAGCCGCGGUAAUACGUAUGUCCCAAUCGUUAUCCGGAUUUAUUGGGCGUAAAGCGAGCGCAGACGGUUAUUUAAGUCUGAAGUGAAAGCCCUCAGCUCAACUGAGGAAGUGCUCUGGAAACUGGAUGACUUGAGUGCAGUAGAGGAAAGUGGAACUCCAUGUGUAGCGGUGAAAUGCGUAGAUAUAUGGAAGAACACCAGUGGCGAAGGCGGCUUUCUGGACUGUAACUGACGUUGAGGCUCGAAAGUGUGGGUAGCAAACAG
rnacentral:rRNA from 1 species